UAGUUAAAAACUUAAUAAUAAGCUUAUGAUUUGAAAUCAUAAUUAAAGGGAUUUAACCCUUAUUAACUUA
rnacentral:tRNA from 1 species